GCCCUUCCUACGGGAGGCAGCAGUAGGGAAUAUUGGUCAAUGGGUGGAAGCCUGAACCAGCCAUGCCGCGUGCAGGAAGACGGCCUUCUGGGUUGUAAACUGCUUUUAUCUGGGGAUAAAAUACCCUUGCGAGGGAGACUGAAGGUACCAGAUGAAUAAGCCACGGCUAACUACGUGCCAGCAGCCGCGGUAAUAAGGGC
rnacentral:rRNA from 1 species